rnacentral:lncRNA from 1 species
UCUCCCAAUUUUCGCAGUCAACUCACAUGAGUCUUGGUUCUCUGUUCAUCGACAGAGAUCCGGAGUUGUUCUCUAUCCUUCUCUCUCUCUCGAGAGCCGGGAAUCUUCUACAAUUUCCCUUCUUCCAUGGCCACGACGUCGUUUGGGACCCUGCCCCUAGCUCAUGGCAGCAAAAUAACUUCUUCCGAUUGGGCCUUGCGCAGGAAGUCGACCAUCCUUACCCAGUUCACGGCAAUCGAUUCUUUCUUGGCGAUUUCGCCAACUCUUGCAGCCGCGGGAGUCAUUGAUUUCUCAGGGAUGCAAAUUUAUAAACAUGGUCAAAAAUAAAUAGAGAGGCGACGACAGCGGUAACCCCAGUGCGGUGCUUGUGAAGCCAAUCCCUCUUAAGAAUCCUGGCCGUAGGACUCGAGGGUGGGUUGAGAGGCGGAAGAGAGUUCUUAUCAGCGGAGGACAGAAGGAGAGAGAUCUCAGUGAUGUCAAGCAAGACGAGGGUGUUGCUUGGGGGGCUGCUCAGAGAAGAGAUGGGUGGUGAUGAGAGAGUGGUACUCCGGACAUCAAAUUCGAAGGACUCGUGCCCUGGAGCGCUGGUGACGCCGGUCAUCCCAAGAUCGAUGGCGGCGAAAUCGGCAGUCCCGACAUUGUUCUUUUCUGUGCCGACCUACAAGGUCGGAUUGCCACCUGGUCAUGCCGCGCCGACCUACAAGGUCGGAUUGCUACCUGGUCAUGCCGACCUCACUUCUUGGAGCUCAACCAGACCGGCGACUUCCUCAUCAGAUCGAUGCAUCUUCUGUCCAUUAGCCCAUUUCCGCGCCGCGCCGACCUUACUUCUUGGAGCUCAACCAGAUCGGCGACUUCCUCAUCAGAUCGAUACAUCUUCUGUCCAUUAGCCCAUUUCCGAGCCGCGCUGACCUCACUUCUUGGAGCUCGACCAGACUAGCAACUUCCUCCUCAGGUCGGCGCGUCUUUGGCAGCUCGAGCUCCUUCUACUAUUGUCA